rnacentral:misc_RNA from 1 species
AUUUAAUUCGAAGUAAAAAUAUUCCGGCAGAAGAGGACUUAUUGUAUUCGCACAACGAACUGCCUCCAACUGGACCGAACUGGAACUACGCAGUAUCGUUUUUUGUUUGGCCUGGAGAUACCGAGUUCCAUGUGGAACGCUCACAGGAACUCAUGCGAGAGGAGUCGGAAAAUCUUCGGACGUCUCUUUAUGCAAAAAUAUAAAGAACACGAUGGAGGACGCAGAAAUUGGAACGCUCCGUGAUCUAGGACGCAAUUUGGCAAAUUGGACUUGCACAUACUCGCGAGAUAAAGCACAAACAUUCUAAAUAUGAAUGAAGUUAGCAGGCUGAAUAAAUGACCAAAUUUUUCACAUAAUAACCAAGCAUAUUUAUCACGAACUCAAUUUGCACAUGAAGUUUCUAUGUCCAUCCAAUUUUGUCACAUUAAUUCACUCGCAUGCUAACCAACAAGCUUAGAAGAUAAAUGAAUUUCAAAUAUGGGUCGCUUAAAAGACAGUCGUUGCAUCUUCUGAUAAACUCAUCAGCCUGAUGUAAGAGAGUAGAGCUAGAGAGUUUUUCCAAUAGGAAUACAUUACAAUUUUUCUGCUCCAAUAAGUCCAGCAGAUAAGUAAAACUACUGAGGAAUUGAAUAACUUCGUACAUGUUUUAUAAUUCUUGGAAAAAGUACGUAUACACGAAUAUAUAAAAGCACGUAAUAUACAAAUUGUUCGGUUUUAGUGAUAUAAAAUGUUUACAAGAAAUUAUUCUGAGUGAUUAAAUCAAAUAUUAUUCAGAUUAAAAGGUUUGAUCUACAAAAUGAACAAUAUCGAUGAGUCCCAUAAGCAUUGGAAAGAAGUUAUCAAUCGACUUAGAAUUAACAGAAGUUAUCAAUUGACUUAGAAUUAACAGAAA